CAAGUACUCCCUCCGUCCGGAAAUACUUGUCAUCAAAAUGGAUGUGUCUAGAACUAAAAUACAUCUAGAUACAUCCAUUUCAAUGACAAGUAUUUUCGGACGGAGGGAGUACGAG
rnacentral:pre_miRNA from 1 species